AAACUAAAGGAAACAUAAAGUCAU
rnacentral:snRNA from 1 species